rnacentral:rRNA from 1 species
GGUCAAGCUACAAAGGGCUCACGGAGGAUACCUAGGCACACAGAGGCGAUGAAGGGCGUGGUUACCUGCGAUAAGUCUCGGGGAGUUGGAAGCACACUUUGAUCCGGGAAUUUCCGAAUGGGGCAACCCCUUGAACGACCAACUGAAUAUAUAGGUUGGUGCGAGCUAA